GCGAAUUAAAAUAAUUAGUAUACCAUCAUAAAUUUCCAUUGUAGCUGUUUCUAUCAGCGACUUACUAGUUGCAUGUACUCCUUGUGUUACUUAAACAAGAAGGUAGAAUCUUCGAAAUCAUAGUCUGAUUAUAUUGUCGAUCAAAUUCCACUCCCAGCAUCUCCAAUGAUUAAUGUUGAACCAAAGCGGAAUGUAUCAUCCAAGAGUAACUAAGUGGUAAAUCAGUCGUUUGUCCAUAUCAUGCCGCCACCAUUGCGAUGAAAUCCAACCGGUUAUGAUACCGCCAUAAGGAUGCCUCACCAAUUAAGAUGGAACUUCCAACGCGACGCCUUCAAGAAGGUUGCAACACUAAUUUAGAACAUCGUCUUCAUCGCUAUUCCAGAAAUAUGUGCUGUCGCCGGCCACCUAGCUACAUCCAAAAUAUGUAUAAUUCAUUGGCUUCCCAAAUUUUAAUAGGAUUGCUUUAGGCAACAAACAAAACAGGUUCCAAUUUCAGAGUAUAAAGUAUUGGAUAUGGGACUUACACGUCACUCUAUUUCUUGCCUUCAUGUUCUUUGUUCACUAUUGGUUGACUACAUCUAUAUAUAUCGAAGUAAUUAAAUAUAUAUAUAGGUUUUGUAUCUAUAGAUACACAUUCAUAUAUAUGCACUCGAUAUAUAUAGACGCACAUCUUCUCUUCCAAAAGCUGGAAUACUCGAUCCUCACAGUCACACAGCUAGCAACGCCGGCG
rnacentral:lncRNA from 1 species